UUUCAUUAUACUAUAGUGUAGUAUAGUUGUAAUGUGUACACAGCUCAGUACAAAUUUUGUUUAAGUGGAGUAAUUCAAAAAUUGCUUUAUAAUACAGUAUAUUGCAAGUUUGCCUUAUUAUUAGUUUCACCUAUAAGUUCUUUUUUAACUGUUAUAGUAAUUUCUUCUUCUCUGUUUUGAAGACUUCUUUGUGAAAUUAGUAUUAGAAACAAAAAGAGCUGUGAUGUGUUUUAUUAUGAGUAUUUCUAACCACAAAAUAUAUCUGCAUGAUGCAUGAAUAUACAUAUAGAUACUUGUAUAAAUUAAAAUUAAUAAAAACAAUCUUAAAACAUUCAAAGAUUCGAAGGAGUCAAAAUAGUAACAUAAGGUUAGUUAUUAUAAAUAUUUUGGAAAGUCUGUUAAAUAUCCAUAACUUUUAGGUAUUCACUAAUGAACUUUUGUUCCUGAUGUAUGUACAUACUUUAGUAAGUGAUAUCCUUAUAAAACAUUUUCCCAUAGAUCUUGUGGUUUUUUUAUCAAUAAACCAAAACAUCAAUCAGAUUCAACUGUGGAUACGAAUAAGAAAACAUGGGAAUAUCAGACUUUUUGCCUUCUUUUAUUAAUUGUUUCCUUCAACUUUUCUAUUUAUAAUCUUGUUCUCACUUGCUUUUGUUCAUUUGAAAUAGUUUCAUUAUUUUUUCAGUGAAAUAUGAAAGGUAUUAAUGGGGGAUGCUCCAUGGGUGUCUGCAGAAAUUUUUCCAGGAGGGGGGGGGGGCAAAAGUAGUAUGAAAUUGUGAAUCGAAUACAAAAAAAUCUUAUAUAUAUGGCGAGUGACUAAAGAAAGAAUUAUGUUUCUCAUUUUCCAGGUGGGGGCAAGUGCCCCUUCUUGCCUCUCCAUCCCUUUGGACAUCCAUGGGACCCUCUUGAAUUGCAUAUUUCCUAAGUUGCUUAAUUUUUCAUCUUACAAGCUUCUCCAAGAGAACCAUAAUAUGCGUUACAAACUAACCUUGGGAAAUACAAACAAGAUGCUGAUAAAGCACGUAGUGUAGGUGCACUUAUACUGCAUACUAUGUAGUAGUAUUAGCCAAUCAAACUGAGCCAUAGCUCAUACCAAAUUAUCUGCGUGAUGGUGGUUGAUUCAUUUGGUUCUUUGUUCCCAUUGUGUUCUGUUGUUUCCAUUUGUUUUGGGAAUGCAAUCAUGUAUUGGUAUUUGCAACACACUUUUAAUUAUUGUAAGUGAUGUUGCAACAUUGUUAUUGUAGAUUUUUUGAAAUGCCAGACCUACUUUAGAAGGUGUUAAUCUGCAUUUCCAUAAAACUAAGAAUAAUUUUUGAUGAAGAGAGUGGAGCAUAAACCUUAAGGAGUUUCAGAGGUGAUUUGACCCUCAAUACAUGCAUGAAGAAUGACCAGAGUGGCUGAAAAUCUCAUACUUUGUGUAUUUGUUUGAUUUAUGAGCUCCAGCUAAAGCUGCCCCAUAAUUGGAGAAAGAAGUGUUUUACACCAGUUUUGAAUAGGAGGAUGUAGAAGACCAGGCUGCUGUGAAAGAUGACUGUUGAUAAAUAAUUUCUGAGAAAGUGUGAUGUUUGUGAGAAGAAAGGAGCCAAAAAAGUAAAGACUCUAGGCUAGGAUACAGCUAUGAAAACUCUCUUCUCAAGAGACCAAGACUCAAGUUUUAUGGUGCCAAAUGUCAGGAAAAAGGAAAAAUUUCAGUUGACAGGGAUUGAAACAGUUACAUUUUUUAAUGUAUUUGGAAGUGGUGGCAAUAAAGACGAAGGUAAAAAAAGGCAAUCAGAAAAAAAAGACAAAGAAAAUUACACAAAGAGUUAUCUGUUGUAUUGGCCCAUUCACCUAGGACGUCAUGUGUGCCUGCUGGUGGGGAAGAUGCUGGUAGAACAUGCUAUGUGAAAGAAAGCAAUCUUCUUCCACUGGCGGAUCAGCUGAUACUUUGAUGUUACAACUUCUCUUAUUCUUCGAUAGGAAGGACCAACAGCAAUUGGGUAGUAUACAUGUACGUACUGAGAAGAAUAGCAUUGUUGUUUCUUGUAUAUAAUGCUUUGUUUUCUUAGUCAGGAGCAGUUCUUUAACAGAUUCUUGAUUCUUCACAGAGAUCAUUGGAAGCUCGAGAAAAGACACCGUUUAUCGUACAGACUUGUUAACUUUAUAUUUUGUGUAUUAAUAAAAAUGUUUCAUAUUGUUA